rnacentral:rRNA from 1 species
AACGCGAAGAACCUUACCAGGCCUUGACAUGCAUUUCUAAGUUGGUGAAAGCCAGCGAGUCCGGGAAACCGGACAACUUGCACAGGUGCUGCAUGGCUGUCGUCAGCUCGUGUCGUGAGAUGUUGGGUUAAGUCCCGCAACGAGCGCAACCCUUGUGAACUGUUGCCACCGGUCCGUGAGGACCGAGCACUCUGUUCAGACUGCCCUGUGAAACGGGGAGGAAGGUGAGGACGACGUCAAGUCAGGAUGGCCCUUACGGCCUGGGCUGCACACGUACUACAAUGCUCAGUACAGAAUGAUCCGAUACCGCGAGGUGGAGGAAAUCCCUAAAACUGAGCCCAAUUCGGAUUGAAGGCUGCAACUCGCCUUCAUGAAGCCGGAAUCGCUAGUAAUGGCGCAUCAGCUACGGCGCCGUGAAUACGUUCCCGGGCCUUGUACACACCGCGUGUCU